rnacentral:tRNA from 2 species
AGGAAUAUUAUGCCAAGAAUGAAGCUUCUAACUUUACUCUCAAGUGGUUUAAUUCCAUUUGUGUUCCUC